rnacentral:rRNA from 1 species
AGUGAACGCUGGCGGUAGGCCUAACACAUGCAAGUCGAACGGCAGCACAGUAAGAGCUUGCUCUUACGGGUGGCGAGUGGCGGACGGGUGAGGAAUACAUCGGAAUCUACUUUUUCGUGGGGGAUAACGUAGGGAAACUUACGCUAAUACCGCAUACGACCUACGGGUGAAAGCAGGGGAUCUUCGGACCUUGCGCGAUUGAAUGAGCCGAUGUCGGAUUAGCUAGUUGGCGGGGUAAAGGCCCACCAAGGCGACGAUCCGUAGCUGGUCUGAGAGGAUGAUCAGCCACACUGGAACUGAGACACGGUCCAGACUCCUACGGGAGGCAGCAGUGGGGAAUAUUGGACAAUGGGCGCAAGCCUGAUCCAGCCAUACCGCGUGGGUGAAGAAGGCCUUCGGGUUGUAAAGCCAUUUUGUUGGGAAAGAAAAGCAGCAGGUUAAUACCCCGCUGUUCUGACGGUACCCAAAGAAUAAACACCGGCUAACUUCGU